UUUUGCAAUAUGAUUAGUUGCCCAACCUUAUAAAAUGUCAUGUGAUUAAGUGCAUAAUACCAAUCUAAUACGAUAUAUUUUUAGGAUGCAAUCUUAACCCUGCUAAUCCUUCUUUAUGUAAAAUGAAUUGAAGGAAAAUCUAAAUGUAUAAAUACAUAGAACGUUCAAUAUAUGUAUGAAGAGGUAAGUGGAAUUGCACCCACGUAUUUAUGAACUACGAAGUUGAGGCCACGUAAUGAGAUUAUUAGCUUUAUCGUUAUCUAGAACAUGCAAUAUUUGUUCAAGCAAGUAGUUAACUUAGCAACUUGUAGUAGUGACGUUCGUCGACCAAAAGGCAGUUAAGUGUUAUAUUGUAGUGUCAUAUUACUAAAAAAAAAAGAUACAAAAACUGCAUUUUUUUUAAUUCUACUUGAAAUCAUUCAACUUAAUUGACAGAGAUUAUCGUUAUAUAAGUAAUGUAUAAUAGUUAUCGCAAUUUCAGAAAAAUUCAAAUUUCAAGAUGAUUGAAGACGAAGAAUCAUUUCGCGAUAUUUAUUUCAACGUUUGUCGUUCAUUCAUUCAGCGUAUGAGAAAUCCAUAAGCUGGACAGGCAACACCACUUCAAUCAAUUACUCGAGCUGUGUUUUUUUUUAGUCGGCGUUUAAAAGGCCAUAAGAAACGUCACACGGUAUUGAACGACCUUUGAUAAAACGACAAAAAAAAUAGCAGUCUAGCGAGCAUUUAACAACGAUUGUAGCAGUCUUUCUUUCAAAAUAUUCUGCUGAUGCACGCGCAUACACAAACCUCCGGCCUGCAAAUGCAUCAGGCGAUGCAUCGCACGCGACCGAUUCGACUGCAGCUAUUUCCACCUAUCAGCUGAUUGAUGCUAUAUAUAUAUAUAUACAUAUAUUUUUCUUUCGCUCGAUUUUGCCAAAUAUUAGCAAAUUCGAUGCAUGUAAAUGAACAUUAUAGUGAUUCCAUAGUCUCAAUCACAGAUAUGGCCGCAACGAGGCGCGAUAUUUAAGGAAAACGUUUCCCUGAAAAAUCUGUUUAAUGAGCUCACCGGCUUUAUCUCGUAAUGAGCGAAACAUGUAGAGAUAGAGAACACUGAGUAUUCUCAAUGUUUUGCAACGGUUGCAUUCAUCUACAUAUCCCUUGGAAACUUAAGUAAUAAAAUUUUAUUUGACGAAUUUCAAAUAAAUGAGAAAUUUAUUUUUUAAGGCAGAAUGAAAUUUUUAGUUAAACGGGAAUAUUUAUUUCGCUUUGAAAAAGUAAAAGGAGGUAUUAAAUAAUGAUAUCAAGUGAAGUUUCGGUUAAUGGCAGCGGGGCCAAAGAUUAAAUCCACCAGAAGCCAAUCGAUUGAAUAAUGCUGCUCGUAUUAAUAAUGUUAUCACCAAACACAUUUAUACUGUACACGAUAUUGUAAUACUGUUACAACGAUAAGUAAAUAAGUAGAUGAAACAAUUUAUAUUUUACCUUUUAAUUCCUGUUAAACAUUUACGUUCCUUCACAACAUUUUUUAAUCGAAUAAAAUAAAUAAUCGUUAAAGCUGAAUUUAAACCAGGAAGGAAAUUGUUUUAAAAGUUCACAAACAUCUUUUAUUUGCCGAAGCUAAUAGUUUCAUUCAAUUCAUGUAUGUUACACAGCCAAAGGACGACUUGUCUAGUAAUAAGAUCGUUUCUUGUUAGCAUAUAUAUGUAUAUAUUCUGUUUGCGUUUGGUCAAAUUUGUAUUAUAAAAUUCUAUUGUUUAAAUUUAAAUAGUACGAAAUGCAUAUAAUCCAGUCGCAAAGUACGAAGAUACAUACGUACUCUUACAUUGUUACUUUAUUAUUCUACAACUACGUUCUAUGUUAACUUAUGAUCGGUUGAUGAUUUCGUCACUUAAAAGAAUAUUAAAAUACAUCCGUUCUUCUUUAGAACGAAGUAGAACUGAUUAUCUAGAGCAGGGAUCGGCGAACAAUGGUAAGAAUAAUUUUGAAAAAGGUGAAACGAAAUAUUUCAUUUACAAUCGUUAAUAGUCAAUCGUAUGGAAAGUGAUUAACUAUUUAACUAUUCCUUUUGCGUACGUCGAUCAAUUUUUCCCAGCGUUUGAUUUGUCACGCAUGGCAAAUUGGUUGCGCGUUAUCUUAGAGGAAAAAAAACAAGUUCUCUGGAAAGCAGAGUCUGUUCUUUUUCGUUUCAGUUGCUGUUAAGAGAAUUCCACGUCGCGGUAGACUAAAAAACUUGUUAUUAUUUAGACUGUCCCCGAAAAAGUUCGCCAACCCCUAUGAUCUAGAUUCCCUGAUCUAGAUUCUAGAUGAUCGUGAUGUUCUAAACAAUUAAAGGAUCGCGCUAUGUGAAAAUAUUCCUUGCGUUAAAUGCACUGUACUUCUUUUCACUAUGCUGCGCAGUUCACUACUUGUUUUGAACAGUAUUAAACAAAACAAAAAAAAAUAUUCAAACUUGGAUCGCUCAACACUGCACGAUCUAUACCUAUUCAUUACAAACCAGUGGCUACGCGUCGCAAAGAAAACGAGUAUAAAAGCGAUUUUUAUUAGAAGGUACGAGGUGUUUCAAGUAAUGAAUUCAAAGUUACUUCUCCAAGUUCAAUAAAGAUAACAGUAUACAUUUUUUUUGGAGACCACUGAUAAAUGUAAUUACAUAAUACUGUAUUGCGGCAAGCGAGAAGUUAACACCCUUCUCGAUCGGAUUCUCGCAGCCUUUUACUUAAAAAUAAAAAAGUGAUUGAUGCGAGACACUCUACAGACAUUUGCAGGCGCACAUAGAAUACACUCACGCAUACACGCAUAUUCUAUCGAUAAUUGAAAGCCUAUCUUUCAUCUAUUUGGAAAGCAGGGGACGCGCGCAUGUCUGUACUGAUCUGUACGUUACGAAUACAGUUGUCAUUACAUAUGAUGAUACGAAUUCUGAACAAAACGAGCUUCAAAAUGUAUGAAAGGAAAAAAAAAAUGAAAGUGCUAUUAUUACCAACACUUACGAUCGACGUGGUGGACGUUAGCGUUCCGUUAUUCGAGUUUCACUGUCACACAUUAAUAUUUUAUACAAAAUAUUUCUCUAAUUUCUUCGAAGUAAACGCAACACGUGAUACUUUCAUCACAAUAAAUAUACCACUUAACAACGAUAAAUUAUUUAUAGGAACAUGUGCGAAUAGUCACGUUCAAUUCCCUCGCGUGCGCCUCUAGUGAACAUCCAAGUAUGUAUGCUUUUUCGCACGAAGUAAUAGGCUAUCGAUCGAAGCAAUGGCUUUUAUCUGAAUUUUAUCAUACGAAUCGUUUUUUCAAGAUACUAGGUAAUCUGUUUGCCUUUAUAUCGAAUAGAAGAUUGACUUGGUAAUCCUUUCAAUGACACAAAAACUACAAUUUUCUGUUUAUAAUUUAAACUACUUUCUAACAGGGACUGCUCUCCAUCCGAGUCUCUCAACUACCGAGGACGCACCGGGGACACUUAAUUUAUUAUACACUCUCACACACAUUUAGGGAACCUCGGUAUAUUACAAAAAUCGAGACGUCCUUCCAGAAGGACUAAAAAUUUUAGAAUUUGUCCCGAGUAUAAUUGUUAAAUAUAGUUUUCUUUUAUUUUUAUAUUAGAUACAUCAAGCAGACGACCUUCUAGAAGGAAGUGGCAUUCUAAGUAUUCUAUUGGCGUCACGUGGCUGAACUAUUUAUGGUAAAACGUUUAGAAAGAAAUAUUAGAAACAGAUUCAGCCUCAUCUGGGUCAAUAAAGUCGUGUUUAAAAUAUUUCAUUUUAAUUCAUGCGUUGCGUCAAAAUAAUAAUAUCUACAAGGGCUAGUCGAUGCAUGAAUCGGGUGGACGACUUACGGUUCCAUCCGCGGUGAUGUAUAAUU